CUGCGCGCGGACCUUCUCUAGUUGCGCUUCACGGGGUCAUACCUCUGUGAAGAACAAGGCCCGUGAGCCCACAGGCAGAUUCGGGUACAAAACUGAAUGCCCUUACUUUGGCCAUGGGAGUGAGCCAUGGUGGACAUCCAGCCCAGAUGACCCACCAGUGGCUGCAGCCCCAGUCACUACCUGACUGCAACUCUAUGAGAGACCCCAAAUGAGAGCCACCCAGCUGAGCCCAAUCAAACCACAGAAAAUUGAGAGAUAAUAAAUAUUUGUAUUAAGGUGCUGAGUUUGGAGAUAUCUUGAUACACAUCUAUAGGU